rnacentral:sRNA from 1 species
UCGUCUGGAUUUAUUUUAUUUCGUGGAUAUGGUUUUCGAUGAGCGUACACGUUUUGACUGUUCCGUCGGCGUAGGAUAGACAAAGAGUAUACAUAUGUGAGACAUCUAUUAUAGUGUUUUGUAUUUUAUUUUGAGGGUGAGUGUGUGGUUAGGGCGCACGGCGGGGGUGGAUCUUGGCCCUAGAGCCACAGUUCGAAUAUUGUGAUUUGUAUAAAAAAUUGUGUUUUAUUAUGUCUGCUGUGAUCCCGUCCUACAUUCAGGACCAUGCUGUAUUUGAUUCUUUUCUUUUUGUAGUUUCUGUUGUUUUAGGAGGACGCUUGGCCGAUGAUUGGAUAGGGGAGGCGUACCGCGCGUCUUUGCUUAAGAAAUAGCGAGUGGGUGGUGUAGGGGCCGGCUAGGGCGUGAGAAUAGCGGCGCACGUGUCGGUAACACGUGGGUUAUUUACCUUGAAGUCUGGAAUAACUCCCCGAAAGGGGUGCUAAUGCCGGAUGAGACCACGGGAGCCCCGGCUCCCGAGGGAAAAGAUGGCCUCUGCAUGCAAGCUAUCGCUUCGAGAUGAGCCCGCGGCCCAUCAGCUCGUUGGCGGGGUAACUGCCCACCAAUGCUAAGACGGGUAGCUGGUCUGAGAGGACGAUCAGCCACACUUGCUCCCCGACACGNUGAUGACUCCUNCNUAAGUCGACGUGGUGAUUUUANACAUUCCCGCAA